rnacentral:tRNA from 1 species
GAGGGUAUAGCUCAGUGAUAGAGUGCCUGUCUAGCGAGAAUAAGGUCCUAGGUUCAAUCCCCAGUACCUCCA